UACCUACGGGACGCAGCAGUGGGGAAUAUUGCACAAUGGGGGAAACCCUGAUGCAGCGACGCCGCGUGAAGGAAGAAGUAUUUCGGUAUGUAAACUUCUAUCAGCAGGGAAGAAAAUGACGGUACCUGACUAAGAAGCCCCGGCUAACUACGUGCCAGCAGCCGCGGUAAUACGUAGGGGGCAAGCGUUAUCCGGAUUUACUGGGUGUAAAGGGAGCGUAGGCGGUGAUGCAAGUCAGAUGUGGAAGCCCGCAGCUCAACUGAGGGACUGCUUUUGA
rnacentral:rRNA from 1 species